UGAGGAAUUUUGCGCAAUGGGAGCAAUCCUGACGCAGCAACGCCGCGUGAGUGAUGAAGGCCUUCGGGUCGUAAAGCUCUGUCAGGUGGGAAGAACAUCCAUGGCAAUAAUACUGUGAUGGAGUGACGGUACCACCAGAGGAAGCCCCGGCUAACUCCGUGCCAGCAGCCGCGGUAAUACGGAGGGUGCGAGCGUUAUUCGGAAUUACUGGGCGUAAAGCGCGUGUAGGCGGGAAGACAAGUCUGAUGUGAAAGCCCCGGGCUUAACCUGGGAAGUGCAUUGGAAACUGUUUUUCUUGAGUACUGGAGAGGAAGGGGGAAUUCCCGGUGUAGAGGUGAAAUUCGUAGAGAUCGGGAGGAAUAUCAGUGGCGAAGGCGCCCUUCUGGACGGAUACUGACGCUGAGACGCGAAAGCGUGGGGAGCAAACA
rnacentral:rRNA from 1 species